AAGUUGAAUUUUCUGUGUGUUUCUCCUUGCUUUGGAAUCACAGUUCAAAUUUGUUCUUUUGUUAUGUUUUUUUUUUUUUUUUCUUCUUCUUUCUAUUAGUGAUGUCUGAGAUUUUCAAGCCCAAUGGAAAUCAUGAAAUAUCAUUGGAGGAAGGAGUGAAUGGGAAUUUAUUGUUCCAAGUAAAGAUGGGGAUUCUUCUUUCACUGCUUUGAAAAACAGCAGAGGAUGGAGUUCUCAGUUCUCUGUGUCAUUCUUACAGAAGGUUUUGGAUGUAAAACCAAUAGCAAUUCGAAAUCUCUCUUAUUGGUGAUGGAUUAUAUUGAAGUUUUCUGUGUCCAAGUUCCUGGAGCUUGUGGAGGCAAGCCGUGUGGCCAAGGAAGUCAAGCACCCAUUCAGGAACCCCCUCAAGCGACGCAAAUGCCCGCAGCUGAUUACUGCUAUGGUCAUGCAGGUCAGCCUCCCUCGCAAGUCUCUGCCUUAAGUAUAAAACACCCACAACAAAUGACAAAACGGAUCUUCCAGCAAUUCACGGGCAUUAAUGCCAUAAUAUUCUAUGCCCCAGUCCUUUUCAACACUCUGGGGUUCAAGAACGAUGCUUCCCUCUACUCGGCCAUCAUCACAGGCGCUGUCAAUGUUGUCUCCACUACGGUCUUGAUCUAUGCUGUAGACAAGGUGGGCCGCAGGCUGCUCUUGCUGGAAGCAGGGGUUCAGAUGUUUUUCUCUCAGUGACUUCCUCUCUAUACCAUCUUCUCCUUCCAUUGAAUUCAUGCAAAAACAAGAUGAAAUUGAGCAUGAAGAGAGACAAAAGCAAUCCAACACCUUCCCAAUGGUCCAAUCCCUUCAACUCUUUCACAGACGCCAAAUCUCAAAACUCUGUAAGAUUUCUGUCACUUGUAUUUGAGUUGCUUGUUCUAUUUUGUGGUUUAUCCUUUCUAAUAUCUACUUGAAAGCAUUGAAUUGUUUUUUUUCCUUCUCAUUUGGGUGUUCUCAGUUACGCAUUUGCAUUGGGAGUUUGUCCGAUGGAACAUACCUGAACUACAUUUUUUUUUUUUUUUUUUGGAUAUAUUUGUGAUCAUUCAUCAUGGUCCCUUUGAUAUAUCUUGGUUAACGUAGAAGGAAAGAUCUUGGCUAUUGUAUUAGUAAAUGGGCUUGAUCAUUUGACAAGAUGACCAUCUUUCAGUCCUCAAACCAAACUUUGUGGUAAUGUGGUGAAAAUCGUUAGCCUUUACUUGUUUUCAGUUGUAGUGAAUGGUAGUAUGCAAUUUUUUCAUUCCUUGAACCCUUAGUCCCUGAUGGAUUGACUUUUGGCGAGGCUCGAUCCUCAGAAUGGUCUCUGUAAGUGUCUUGUUCGAA